AUGUCUGCUGCUCUCGCAGAUCCAUCCUCUGAGCCACGCACGUAUCAAGCUGCUAUGCGCAUUCCUCAUUGGAGAGAGGCCAUGGAGCAGGAGUAUCAAGCGCUUCUUCGCAAUCAGACAUGGACUCUUGUUCCUCCACAAUCACGGGUAAAUGUCAUUGAUUCCAAAUGGGUUUUCAAAGUGAAGAGGCAUUCUGAUGGGUCCAUUGAGCGCUAUAAGGCUCAUCUGGUUGCUCGUGGUUUUCGACAGCGUUUUGGACUUGACUAUGAAGACACCUUCAGUCCAGUGGUCAAGCCUACUACCAUCAGACUUCUUCUCUCUCUGGCUGUUACUCGAGGUUGGUUUCUUCGUCAGCUUGAUGUUCAAAAUGCUUUUCUUCAUGGUGUCUUGGCGGAGGAGGUUUACAUGCGCCAGCCUCCGGGUUUCUCUGAUCCGGAUCGCCCUGAUCAUCUCUGUCGUCUGUCCAAGGCAAUUUAUGGUCUGAAGCAGGCUCCUCGUGCUUGGCAUGCUCGUCUUGCAAUGGCUCUUCGUGCUCAUGGUUUUGCAUCAUCAACUGCUGACUCCUCAUUGUUUCUUCUUCAAAGGCCUGAGGUUACUAUGUACUUGUUGGUCUAUGUAGAUGAUAUCAUUUUGGUCAGCUCCUCUCAGUCGGCUGCUACUGCGCUUGUUCGCUCACUUGGUGCUGAUUUUGCGGUCAAGGACCUUGGGAAGCUUCAUUACUUUCUUGGUGUGGAGGUUACUUCUCGUGAUGCUGGCCUUGUUAUGACGCAGAAGAAGUACUCUCUGGAUUUGUUGCAGCGAGCUGGGAUGCUUAAGUGCAAACCGACGACUACACCCAUGUCUACCACUGAUAAGCUCAAUGCUGUUGAUGGUGUGCUUCUUUCUUCUUCUGAUGCGACAGAGUACAGGAGUAUUGUUGGUGGGCUCCAGUACUUGACGAUCACGCGACCAGACAUUUCCUAUGCUGUUAACCGAGUCUGCCAGUAUCUGCAGUCACCCCGUGACACUCAUUGA
rnacentral:rRNA from 1 species